UACGUAGGGUGCGAGCGUUAAUCGGAAUUACUGGGCGUAAAGCGUGCGCAGGCGGUUUUGCAAGCCGGAUGUGAAAUCCCCGGGCUCAACCUGGGAAUGGCAUUCGGGACUGCAAGGCUGGAGUGCGGGAGAGGAGACUGGAAUUCCUGGUGUAGCAGUGAAAUGCGUAGAUAUCAGGAGGAAUACCGAUGGCGAAGGCAGGUCUCUGGGCUGACACUGACGCUCAUGCACGAAAGCGUGGGGAGCAAACAGG
rnacentral:rRNA from 1 species